AACGAACGCUGGCGGCAGGCUUAACACAUGCAAGUCGAACGCAUCCUUCGGGGUGAGUGGCAGACGGGUGAGUAACGCGUGGGAACGUGCCCUUCAGUUCGGGAUAACCCAGGGAAACUUGGGCUAAUACCGGAUACGUGCGAGAGCAGAAAGAUUUAUCGCUGAAGGAUCGGCCCGCGUCUGAUUAGCUAGUUGGUGGGGUAAUGGCCCACCAAGGCGACGAUCAGUAGCUGGUCUGAGAGGAUGAUCAGCUACAUUGGGACUGAGACACGGCCCAAAAUCCUACGGGAGGCCGCAGUGGGGAAUAAUGGACAAUGGGCGCAAGCCUGAUCCAGCCAUGCCGCGUGAGUGAUGAAGGCCUUAGGGUUGUAAAUCUCUUUCGUCCGGGACGAUAAUGACGGGACCGGAAGAAGAAGCCCCGGCUAACUUCGUGCCAGCCGCCGCCGUAA
rnacentral:rRNA from 1 species